UACGUAGGGUGCAAGCGUUGUCCGGAAUUAUUGGGCGUAAAGAGCUCGUAGGCGGUCUGUCGCGUCUGCUGUGAAAACCUGGGGCUUAACCCCGGGCCUGCAGUGGGUACGGGCAGACUAGAGUGUGGUAGGGGAGACUGGAAUUCCUGGUGUAGCGGUGAAAUGCGCAGAUAUCAGGAGGAACACCGGUGGCGAAGGCGGGUCUCUGGGCCAUAACUGACGCUGAGGUGCGAAAGCGUGGGGAGCGAACAGG
rnacentral:rRNA from 1 species